rnacentral:rRNA from 1 species
UACGUAGGGUGCAAGCGUUGUCCGGAAUUAUUGGGCGUAAAGAGCUCGUAGGCGGUCUGUCGCGUCGGCUGUGAAAACCCGAGGCUCAACCUCGGGCCUGCAGUCGAUACGGGCAAACUAGAGUACUGCAGGGGAGACUGGAAUUCCUGGUGUAGCGGUGAAAUGCGCAGAUAUCGGGAGGAACACCUAUGGCGAAGGCAGCUCGCUGGGACGGUACUGACGCUGAGACGCGAAAGCGUGGGGAGCGAACAGG